rnacentral:rRNA from 1 species
GACGAACGCUGGCGGCGUGCUUAACACAUGCAAGUCGAACGCUGAAGCUUGGUGCUUGCACUGGGUGGAUGAGUGGCGAACGGGUGAGUAAUACGUGAGUAACCUGCCCUUGACUCUGGGAUAAGCCUGGGAAACUGGGUCUAAUACUGGAUACGACAUGUCACCGCAUGGUGGUGUGUGGAAAGGGUUUUACUGGUUUUGGAUGGGCUUACGGCCUAUCAGCUUGUUGGUGGGGUAAUGGCUCACCAAGGCGACGACGGGUAGCCGGCCUGAGAGGGUGACCGGCCACACUGGGACUGAGACACGGCCCAGACUCCUACGGGAGGCAGCAGUGGGGAAUAUUGCACAAUGGGCGGAAGCCUGAUGCAGCGACGCCGCGUGAGGGAUGACGGCCUUCGGGUUGUAAACCUCUUUCAGCACGGAAGAAGCGAAAGUGACGGUACGUGCAGAAGAAGCGCCGGCUAACUACGUG